UACAGAGGUGGCAAGCGUUGUUCGGAAUUACUGGGCGUAAAGGGCGCGUAGGCGCCUUCUAAGUCAGACGUGAAAUCCCCCGGCUUAACCUGGGCAACUGCGUGCUGAUAUGGACGGCUAGAGUAUGGGAGAGGGAUGUAGAAUUCCAGGUGUAGCGGUGAAAUGCGUAGAUAUCUGGAGGAAUACCGGUGGCGAAGGCGGCAUCCUGGACCAUUACUGGCACUGAACCGCCGAAAGCUAGGGGAGCAAACGGG
rnacentral:rRNA from 1 species